rnacentral:rRNA from 1 species
UAGCGGAUCGGAAAAGUAAACCAACAGGGAUUGCCUCAGUAACGGCGAGUGAAGCGGCAACAGCUCAAAUUUGAAAUCUGGCCUCUUCGGGGCCCGAGUUGUAAUUUGUAGAGGAUGUUUCGGGUACCGCCUCGGUUUAAAUUUCUUGGAACAGAAUGUCAGAGAGGGUGAGAAUCCCGUCUUGGACCGGCGGUAGGGCCCAUGUGAAACUCCUUCGACGAGUCGAGUUGUUUGGGAAUGCAGCUCAAAAUGGGUGGUAAAUUUCAUCUAAAGCUAAAUAUUGGCCAGAGACCGAUAGCGCACAAGUAGAGUGAUCGAAAGAUGAAAAGAACUUUGAAAAGAGAGUUAAACAGUAUGUGAAAUUGUUGAAAGGGAAGCGCUUGCAACCAGACUUGAGCGCGGCGGUUCCCCCUUCCUUUUGGUUGGGUUACUCCGCCGUGUCCAGGCCAACAUCGGUUCUGGGGGUCGGUUAAAGGCCCGGGGAAUGUAUCUACUCCUUCGGGGGUAGACUUAUAGCCCCGGGUGUCAUGCGACCUCCCGGGACCGAGGAACGCGCUUCGGCUCGGAUGUUGGCGUAAUGGUUGUCAGCGACCCGUCUUGAAACACGGACCAAGGAGUCUAACAUCUAUGCGAGUGUUUGGGUGUCAAACCCGGAACGCGGAAUGAAAGUGAACGGAGGUAGGAAGCCUUUAGGCUGCACUAUCGACCGAUCCUGAUGUCUUCGGAUGGAUUUGAGUAAGAGCAUAGCUGUUGGGACCCGAAAGAUGGUGAACUAUGCCUGAAUAGGGUGAAGCCAGAGGAAACUCUGGUGGAGGCUCGCAGCGGUUCUGACGUGCAAAUCGAUCGUCAAAUUUGGGCAUAGGGGCGAAAGACUAAUCGAACCAUCUGGUACUGGUCU